UACCGUGCUAAUAUACAAUGAUUCGCAUUUUUAUUUUUAAAUUAAAACAGUAACUAAAAAAAUAUAACAUUAUUAUGAGUUUUAUGUUAGUCUGUAUUUUACUCAUGGCUAUACCGUCCGACUUCCGAAUUCGGAUUGAAUUUUGACUUUUGACAAUUAUUGACACACCGAAGGGCGAAGUUAGAAAUAAACUUCAUUAUCUACUAAAAAUAAAAUAUAGGUUAUUUUGCAACAACAAAAUAAAAUAUUUAAAUAGUCGCUCAUUGCUAUUCAAAUAUGUUUCGAUUACCGUUUGGCGAAAGAGUUGAUCCGUUAGAGGAAAAACGUCAAGCAAGAGAAAAUACUAUUAACAGCUUUCUUACAUUUUGUGCACUUUGUGCUGCUAUUAGAAUUGCUCCAGUAAUCAUCGAGCACAGUGGAUUUUAACUUUAAUAAAUGUAUUGAAGUAGUUCUAAUAAAGUCAUGCUACUGUUUCAUAGUUGAAUCUGAUUAGUAGAUGUGCACAAAUCAUAGAAUUUAGUUCCUUUUUAAAGCCUCUGUUUAACGGUAACAGUAAUAAGCAUAAAAUGAGUUUAUAAAUACAUUAUUUCAACAGUA